AACCUUGAUAGUUUUGCCAGGUGCUUUGAUUGAUUGCCCAGCUUGUGAUGAAGCGCUGGACAAUGGAUCAAGGACGUAAUGAAUCCAAGAAGAGCACUGCAAGGGUCCCAGGGAACAGUUCAGUACGCACUUGAUUCUGUGCUCACCUGUGGUCAUGUCACGAGGCAAGUGAAGGUGGCGGCACAGCUCCAAGAUGUCAAGUACCCCAGACCUGCUAUCUCGGCAGGCUGCAGAACAUACAGCAGUGACUAAACACACCAGGAAACAGGCAGGCCACAAACUAAUAAACCCGCGAGUGUUCAAGCACCACAAAUCAGUCAACAGCAGCAAGAAAUCAGGAGGUGUGUGUGGAAAUGCUGCUCCAAAGGCUGCACUGACACUUCACUUGAUGACUUAUUUUGAGUUGAUAUUUUGGCCCCCGACUGUGAUGUGAGGGAGGGAUGGUGGCUCAUGUCUCACCAGGUUUUAAGUAACACAACACAAAGGUGACAUGGUGGUGGAAUAGCAUCACAGAAAGAGUCUUAUUUCCUUCUCAAGUCCAGCGUGCUUUGCUGUCUUACUUGAUGCUUACAAUGGAUGACGAUGAUGAUUACUUCACUCCCACUACCUCAAGCAGCCGCCGCUUGGCCAUGCUGUUCAGCCCUGAGGAGAUGAGUAGCAAUAGCAGCAGCAGCAGCACAGGCCACCACACUGACCUCUCCACCAACUUCAGGUUUGUGGCACCUAAGCAGCCACGGCCAGGCAGGAGCAAUUCUUCUGCCUCAUCUGGCACUGGACAAGCCUCCAAGGAUGGCCAAGAGGUUCUGCUUGACGUGCCCCUCAGUCUGCUGCCUCAAGGGGCAGAGAGGAGCGGAGCGGCUAGGAUGGCAGUGAGCUGCCAGGUGGUGGGCAAUGCUGUGAAGAGGAGCUUCACCCUGUUGGUGGUGGUGCAGGACAAAGGGGAGCUCUGGAGAGCUGCUGUUGACUCACAUCUACUUCUAGAGGUGCUGGAGCGCUCCACUCUGAGGGUGACAGCUCACAGCAAAUCCCUCACACUGCUCGGAGAGGCACAGCGAAUUGAAGACUUGGUGAUGCAGCUGGCCAUCUACCGAGCUGUCACUAGCAGUGGCCCUUCACAGCAGGACCUGUGUGUGGGCAAAGGCCCACACACUCUGGGCGAGGGGGACGUGGCCAAAGUUCACUGCAGCACCCACACCAUCACCUCCACAGCCCUCAAGGGAGAAGUGAUUGAAAAUUUGAAGGGAGUGAAGGUGACAGUGACCCCGGCCUCAGAAGGUGGGUGGGAGAGCUGCCUGGCAGGUGCAACAGUGGACUCCCACAGGCUGAUCUUCCUUCCCAAGCAAAGGGAUGGUAAAUGGUUGCCUCCAACAACAUUCCACAACAUAACAAUCUUGAAAGUAAGAACCAAAGGGGGUAAGGACAAGCCAUCGCCAGCAGCAACAGCAGUCAGUAACAACACCAGUCCUGUGACACUACAACAACAACAACAACAUCAACAACAACAGACAAUCACUUCCCAGGAUGCAACCCUUACUGCUUCUUCACAUAACUUCACAGGUCAGAAUGGAGACAUGGCUGAGUCACAGGGCCAGAAUACUCAGGAGGACAGUGAGGCAAGCAGGAAGGCGGCACUGGUGUCUCGCAUGGCUCAGCUUGGCACUCCACUCUUCCCGCCGCUGCCUAGUGCCAAGGUGUCACAGCCCUCCGAGGUGACCGGCGAGGGUGCUGUGGAGACACAAGGAGCAUCAGUAGAAGGGGCGUCAAUCCCUGCUGCCACUCCACCUAUGCAUGUUCCUGAUUCCUCCACCUCUACCACUGUCUCCAUUCCUACUACUCCCUCCUCCACCUCCACUCAGCUUAGUUCUACAUGCACUUCUGUCCCUACCAACACUAUUGCUGCUGCCAUUACAACUGCUACUGCUAUUCCAGUCCCUGUCCCCACAGUGCCCUCUCAGUACCAGACACACUCCUCAACACUGGACUCCACUUUGGCACUCAGCAUCUGUCAGCUUGGGACAUCAGUGGCCAGGAUCUCAGACAAGGUUGAUCUCCUGCUGACCAAGGUGGAUAAAAUUGAGACAGGAGGCUCCCAUGACUCAGGCUCCCCCCCUCCCAGUGAUCCUAAGGCGCUGAUGGCCCUUGCGAGUGGCCUGGUGGCACACAAUGAGAGGCUGCAGGGAGAAGUGGAGGCCCUGGAGAGGAAGCUUAGUGAGAGUCAGACAUCUCGUGCUUCACUCUUGACCAUGAAUGCUGAACUUCUGGAGGAGAAGAGAGAGCUGCUGAGAAGAGAAGCUGAACAAAGGAAGAAGGAGGAAGACAGGCAAGAAGAAAGUGCUGAAAAUUUAAAAGAUAAAGAAGAACCAGUGAAGGAACAAGAAGAAAAGGAAACCCAAACGGAGGCUGAGGGAUACAUUCAGCAGGAGGACAAGCAAGGCCUGAUGCCAGAGCAGGUGAGAUCACUGGUCAAGUCAACCCUCUCAGGUCUGUUCCGCCACCUGUCCGAUGCCUUCAGUGAGGAGGAGCAGCACUCUCGGCCUCAGGUCCUGUGCACUGUGAGGUCUGGCCUGCAGGUGGCUUAUUCCACUUUUAUGGAGAACCUUGAAGAGAUAGUGGGGGUGGAGGAAACAGCAGCAGAAGAGGAAGAAAGAAGUGGAGAGGAGGAAAAGCAACAUGAAGAGGAUGAGAAAAAAGAGAACAGCAAAAGCCAUGAUAUGGAGGUCAGGAGUGGAGAAAGUGAUCCAGGUGAGGAAAUUUAUGAAGAUUUUGCCACUGAGGAGAGGUGGAUAGAAAAGGAGGAGGAGGAGGAUGGGAAGCCAACAGAAAUACAAAACACACUUGAAAUUGAGCCUCUGUACCUGAAACAAAAGGAAUUAAGUAAGAAUGAUAAAAAAGAGGAUGAAGAUUUGAAGAAACAUACUUCCUUGUGCUUGGAAAAGGCAGAUGAUUAGGAAGGAAAACAGCACGAGGAGGAGGAGAGAGUGGAGGAAGUGGCAGACUUAAAGAAUGAAAUGUUAAAAGAAAAGAUCAGCCAGUCAUGAACAGAAAGGAUCAGGAGUAGAUGCAAGGAGGUGAAGCUGUUCUGUCCACAUGCUUCAUGUCCUGCAGCGCUCAAGAGUGUCUUCUGAUUGGCCUGCCAAGUGGGUCAUCAUUGCUCAAGUAUAAGAUUGCUGAUUUAGUCAUUGGUGUGGCUCGGCAGUAAUGAAAGAUAAGCUGUUGCCUUACACUGUAAUGUGUGUCCUCUUGCUGGGCUGAUGUUGUCCAGCUUGUUGAUAUUUUAAUGUAAUGUUAAUCAAAUUUUUAAAGUAUUUAGCAUGUAUGAUUAUUUUUACUAUGCAGAAAGAAGGAUAAAAAUAAUUAAUUCAUCAAUCAACAGUAAGAUUAGCAUAGACAGAUAAUGUCUAUGCAUGAAUAGUGUGUAGAAACAUGACAGCAUCAACCUGUCUUACUAACCAAAAUGGUAAGUCAUUAUGCAUUACCCAGGGUUCAUCACCACAGUGUAUAGUUUCUCUUUACCCUCCAUUGUCAUGGUUACUGAGUAAUAGGUGCUACAGCUUUACUAAGGAAAGCAUUCACUAGGGAGCAGUAAGUGAGUCCUUCCAUUUGUAAAUUUGUUUAUGUCAUCCAUAACCAUUAUAAUUUUUUGUGUAAUGUCCUAUUUUCCUAAUGGGAUUAGAUUGGGGUUGGAUGGUCACAUAGUUGAAGCAGAGGUUGCCUCCCACAGGUGCUCAUCUCUUAUGGGGCAUGGGUUUGAUUUCAGGAUGACCUUCCCCAAUCCUUGAAGUUUUUUACACUCGCAUCUCUUAUUGAGUCCCUCCUCUCAUUGUGCAUCCUUCCUUCCAUGUUCACUCCCCUUAAGUCUUUCACUCAUCAUGAAGGAGAGGAACGUCACUCACAUAAUGAUCUAUUUACAAAGAUACAAAGAAAGAAACCAUUCCACAUGCAGCCUUAGCCAUGCUUUGUCCUGCCACUGUGCUCUCCAGGUAGUGCCAAAUUAUACAGCAUAUGUGAAUGAUUGAGGAUGGGAUCAUAUUAUUCAAGUGGUCUGGGAUUUCCAUAGCUUACUUCAGGAAAAAAAUAAAGGGACUACUAAUACUUCUGUUUGAUAGAAACAUCUGUAUCAGUUCUCAGUUCUUUCUAGUAUUUAUAGGAUCUGAAUGUGUCAUCAGAAUGUGAUAUUUGAUAGGCUGUGGGAUAAAAUUAUGUAUUAUAAGGAUGAAGACAUUCAUUUGUUAUGUCCCCUUCUCAAAAUUAGAUAACAUUAUAUUUUGAGCCCUUUAGUUUCAUGGAUAAAACAUGGACAUCCUGCCUUUCAGUGUGAAACGCAAUGCAUUCCUCAGAGAGAGUUUAAGGCUCAGUGGCACAAGAUGGGGUGCCUCUUCCUGAUGCUUUAUUGGCACAUUUUCUGUUUGUGUACGGACAGGUAGCUCAUAACAGUCAUAUUUCUCAUACUACUCAAACUUCUGUCUUGUCCAAUAUCAUAUCUGCCGACACCCUCACACCAUCCCACAACUGCCAUCACUACUUUCAUAUUCAACACACCCUUCAUGACAUGUAACAGUCUGUUAAGAUUAGACAGACUUAAGUAAGCUAGUCAGUCAGUUAAGUUUUAAGAGACCAAAUAAACAUCUAACUUGAAUUGCUAUUGUCAUGUCUUUGUCGUCAUGUUAUUUUACUACAAGAAUUUUGGCAUGAAGUUGAUGUAUUGUUGUUUUGUUCAUUAGAUGUCACAAAUUUUCAUGCAAGGAAUGCACUGCAGUGUUCUCACAUACAGCUGCAGCCAGAUCAGUGGUUAUUGUUGCUUCAGAACAAUCCUAAUUUUAGUGUAUUAGGAAAAGGUGAUCAGUGGUUUGUCAUGGUGCAUGUUAAUUGAGGCAGCAGUAAUCAUUUAAGUUAUUCAAAUAAUUUAUCUUUUUCAUAUUGAGGUAGAUUUUUCAUUGAUUGGAUAUGCUCAUUUUCUAAACAUUUGCUUCUGAUGUGAAAGAUUUAGAGUUUAAAAGACUAAAAGAUUUACUUAAUGCCUUUUCUUAGUGCAGUAUUCAUAUUUUUAUAAUUAAUUUUAUGUAUUUAGCUAUUUUUAUUUGUACAUUUUUAGUAUACACAGACCAGCAUUGGCAGGUGCUACUAAUGUACUGCUUUGUUUCCUUUGCAUCAUCAGGAGAGACUGUCAUGUUUUUUUUUAAUUUAUUUCAGUGAUAAAGAUUUGUUUAUCAUAAUGUGUGUCUAAGACUAUCAUGAGGAAGUACAACACAUUAAGUGAAGCAUUCCUAGCUAAUAGUUAUUAGUUAUUGGGUUAAUUUUGAUAUUUUGUUAACUGUUUAUGAAUAAUCAAUGUAAUUUUGCACAUUUGAUGAUAAACAACAAGAAAUUAUUGUAUAUUUCUUACAUUACUGUAGUGCUUUUGUAUUGCAGCACCUUUGCACCCCCCCCAACCCUCACCCCCUCCUGCUUCCACCAGGUGGGCAGAUCAGCAUACUCCUGCCACCACAACACUGUGUGACAUCAAAGGUAAAACAAAAUAAUCCUGAGAUGUUUUUCCCUUUAUUAUUGGCGAGUACAGACAGCCAUACAAUCACAGACAUGAGAGGAAGGAUGAGGUGCACCCACUCACACAAGGACACCUCACACUUCAAUCUCAGGAAGAACCAGAUUGCAAUAUUACCAGAAUUUAAUGUGCUUUCUUGUUUACAUUCUUAUACAGUAUAUAUAUAUAUAUAUAUAUAUAUAUAUAUAUAUAUAUAUAUAUAUAUAUAUAUAUAUAUAUAUAUAUAUACUUUUUAGACAUACAUAAUCUUCCUUAAGUACAAAUGUAAGUAAAAUUUCUAAUACAGCAUAAAAAAUUUUUGCACCAUAAACAAACUCACGCAUUCACUCUUUUUGACAGCAGGUAAGAAAGAAGAGAGGACAGGAUUAUAGCAGGCACCACAGCAUCUUGGUUGCUACAAGUUGCCAGGAUCUCUGAUUCAAACAAGACGACAACACCCAACUUUGGAUGUUUAUGCAGACUCUCUCUCUCUCUCUCUCUCUCUCUCUCUCUCUCUCUCUCUCUCUCUCUCUCUCUCUCUCUCUCUCUCUCUCUCUCUCUCUCUCUCUCAUCACAGUAUGUUUAUGAAUCACAGUCACUCACCACAACUCCUUGAUAAUAAUAGGUCUCUCUCUCUCUCUCUCUCUCUCUCUCUCUCUCUCUCUCUCUCUCAUUUCAUCUCAUCUCACCACAGCCCACAGUAUGAUAACAACAGGUCUCUCUCUCUCUCUCUCUCUCACAGAAAAUGGAUAAGCAAUUGUCAUAGAAAAUGAAAUUUCUCUCUCUUACAGAAAAUGGAUAAGCAAUUGUCAUAGAAAAUUAAAUUUCUCUCUCUCUCUCUCUCUCUCUCUCUCUCUCUCUCUCUCUCUCUCUCUCUCUCUCUCUCUCUCUCUCUCUCUCUCUCUCUCUCUCUCUCUC